ACAUCAGUGAGGUACAUCCUUACCUGUUGUUCUCUUUAAGGACUGCAGCGUAUGAUGAUUGGUGUGGGAUGAAUUUGUGAUUAUUCACUUCUUCCACAAAGGUCUGCAACACCAUUGUGGUUCCAAUCUGAC